rnacentral:rRNA from 1 species
GAUGAACGCUGGCGGCGUGCCUAAUACAUGCAAGUCGAACGAAACUUCUUUAUCACCGAGUGCUUGCACUCACCGAUAAAGAGUUGAGUGGCGAACGGGUGAGUAACACGUGGGCGACCUGCCCAAAAGAGGGGGAUAACACUUGGAAACAGGUGCUAAUACCGCAUAACCAUAGUUACCGCAUGGUAACUAUGUAAAAGGUGGCUAUACUACCGCUUUUGGAUGGGCCCGCGGCGCAUUAGCUAGUUGGUAGGGUAAAGGCUUACCAAGGCAAUGAUGCGUAGCCGAAUUGAGAGGUUGAUCGGCCACAUUGGGACUGAGACACGGCCCAAACUCCUACGGGAGGCAGCAGUAGGGAAUCUUCCACAAAGGGCGAAAGCCUGAUGGAGCAACGCCGCGUGGGUGAAGAAGGUCUUCGGAUCGUAAAACCCUGUUGUUAGAGAAGAAAGUGCGUGAGAGUAACUGUUCACGUUUCGACGGUAUCUAACCAGAAAGCCACUGCUAACUACGUG